AUUGAACGCUGGCGGAAUGCUUUACACAUGCAAGUCGAACGGCAGCACGGACUUCGGUCUGGUGGCGAGUGGCGAACGGGUGAGUAAUGUAUCGGAACGUGCCCAGUCGUGGGGGAUAACGUAGUGAAAAUUACGCUAAUACCGCAUACGAUCUAUGGAUGAAAGCGGGGGAUCGCAAGACCUCGCGCGAUUGGAGCGGCCGAUAUCAGAUUAGGUAGUUGGUGGGGUAAAGGCCCACCAAGCCAACGAUCUGUAGCUGGUCUGAGAGGACGACCAGCCACACUGGAACUGAGACACGGUCCAGACUCCUACGGGAGGCAGCAGUGGGGAAUUUUGGACAAUGGGCGAAAGCCUGAUCCAGCCAUUCCGCGUGCAGGAUGAAGGCCCUCGGGUUGUAAACUGCUUUUGUACAGAACGAAAAGGUUUCUACUAAUACUAGGAGCUCAUGACGGUACUGUAAGAAUAAGCACCGGCUAACUACGUGCCAGCAGCCGCCGUAAAAC
rnacentral:rRNA from 1 species